UGGGGAAUAUUGCACAAUGGGCGCAAGCCUGAUGCAGCCAUGCCGCGUGUGUGAAGAAGGCCUUCGGGUUGUAAAGCACUUUCAGCGAGGAGGAAGGUGGUGAGCUUAAUACGCUCAUCAAUUGACGUUACUCGCAGAAGAAGCACCGGCUAACUCCGUGCCAGCAGCCGCGGUAAUACGGAGGGUGCAAGCGUUAAUCGGAAUUACUGGGCGUAAAGCGCACGCAGGCGGUUUGUUAAGUCAGAUGUGAAAUCCCCGGGCUCAACCUGGGAACUGCAUUUGAAACUGGCAAGCUAGAGUCUCGUAGAGGGGGGUAGAAUUCCAGGUGUAGCGGUGAAAUGCGUAGAGAUCUGGAGGAAUACCGGUGGCGAAGGCGGCCCCCUGGACGAAGACUGACGCUCAGGUGCGAAAGCGUGGGGCAGCAAACAGGAUUAGAUACCCUGGUAGUCCAGCGCUGUAAAACGAUGUCGAUUUUGGAGGUUGUGCCCUUGAGGCGUGGCUUCCGGAGCUAACGCGUUAAAUCGACCGCCU
rnacentral:rRNA from 1 species